ACACAUGCAAGUCGAGGGGUAUAGUAGCAAUACUAGAGACCGGCGCACGGGUGCGUAACGCGUAUGCAAUCUACCUUUUGCAGAGGGAUAGCCCAGAGAAAUUUGGAUUAAUACCUCAUAGUAUAACGACUCGGCAUCGAGAUGUUAUUAAAGUCACAACGGCAAAAGAUGAGCAUGCGUCCCAUUAGUUAGUUGGUAAGGUAACGGCUUACCAAGACUACGAUGGGUAGGGGUCCUGAGAGGGAGAUCCCCCACACUGGUACUGAGACACGGACCAGACUCCUACGGGAGGCAGCAGUGAGGAAUAUUGGACAAUGGGCGCAAGCCUGAUCCAGCCAUGCCGCGUGCAGGAUGACGGUCCUAUGGAUUGUAAACUGCUUUUGCACAGGAAGAAACAACGCUACGUGUAGCGUCUUGACGGUACUGUGAGAAUAAGGAUCGGCUAACUCCGUGCCAGCAGCCGCGGUAAUACGGAGGAUCCAAGCGUUAUCCGGAAUCAUUGGGUUUAAAGGGUCCGUAGGCGGUCUUAUAAGUCAGUGGUGAAAUCUCCCCGCUCAACGGGGAAACGGCCAUUGAUACUGUAGGACUUGAAUUAUUAGGAAGUAACUAGAAUAUGUAGUGUAGCGGUGAAAUGCUUAGAGAUUACAUGGAAUACCAAUUGCGAAGGCAGGUUACUACUAAUGGAUUGACGCUGAUGGACGAAAGCGUGGGUAGCGAACAGGAUUAGAUACCCUGGUAGUCCACGCCGUAAACGAUGGAUACUAGCUGUUGGGCGCAAGUUCAGUGGCUAAGCGAAAGUGAUAAGUAUCCCA
rnacentral:rRNA from 1 species